CCGGCGAGGGGAGUGAAAAAGAACCUGAAACCGUGUACGUACAAGCAGUGGGAGCACCCUUUGGGGUGUGACUGCGUACCUUUUGUAUAAUGGGUCAGCGACUUAUAUUCUGUAGCAAGGUUAACCGCAUAGGGGAGCCGGAGGGAAACCGAGUCUUAAUUGGGCGUUAAGUUGCAGGGUAUAGACCCGAAACCCGGUGAUCUAGCCAUGGACAGGUUGAAGGUUGGGUAACACUAACUGGAGGACCGAACCGAC
rnacentral:rRNA from 1 species